rnacentral:rRNA from 1 species
GAGUUUGAUCAUGGCUCAGAACGUACGCUGGCGGCACGCCUAACACAUGCAAGUCGAACGAAGUAGCAAUACUUAGUGGCAGACGGGUGAGUAACAUGUAGGUAUCUUCCCUUUGGCCUGGAAUAACACGAGGAAACUUGUGCUAAUACUGGAUAAGUCUUUACGGAGAAAGCUUUAUGCACCAUUGGAUGAGCCUGCACUUGAUUAGUUUGUUGGUGGGGUAAAGGCCUACCAAGACUGUGAUCAAUAGCUGAUUUGAGAGGAUGAUCAGCCACAUUGGGACUGAGACACGGCCCAAACUCCUACGGGAGGCAGCAGUGGGGAAUCUUGCACAAUGGAGGAAACUCUGAUGCAGCGAUGCCGCGUGAGUGAAGAAGGCCUUUGGGUUGUAAAGCUCUUUCGUCGGGGAAGAAAAUGACUGUACCCGAAUAAGAAGGUCCGGCUAACUUCGUGCCAGCAGCCGCGGUAAUACGAAGGGACCUAGCGUAGUUCGGAAUUACUGGGCUUAAAGAGUUCGUAGGUGGUUGAAAAAGUUGGUGGUGAAAUCCCAGAGCUUAACUCUGGAACUGCCAUCAAAACUUUUCAGCUAGAGUUUGAUAGAGGAAAGCAGAAUUUCUAGUGUAGAGGUGAAAUUCGUAGAUAUUAGAAAGAAUGCCAAUUGCGAAGGCAGCUUUCUGGAUCAUUACUGACACUGAGGAACGAAAGCAUGGGUAGCGAAGAGGAUUAGAUACCCUCGUAGUCCAUGCCGUAAACGAUGUGUGUUAGACGUUGGAAAUUUAUUUUCAGUGUCGCAGCGAAAGCGAUAAACACACCGCCUGGGGAGUACGACCGCAAGGUUAAAACUCAAAUGAAUUGACGGGGACCCGCACAAGUAGUGGAGCAUGUGGUUUAAUUCGAAGAUACGCGCAGAACCUUACCAACACUUGACAUGUUCGUCGCGACUUUAAGAGAUUAAAGUUUUCGGUUCGGCCGGACGAAACACAGGUGCUGCAUGGCUGUCGUCAGCUCGUGUCGUGAGAUGUUGGGUUAAGUCCCGCAACGAGCGCAACCCUCACUUUUAGUUGCCAUCAUUUAGUUGGGCACUCUGAAAGAACUGCCAGUGAUAAGCUGGAGGAAGGUGGGGAUGACGUCAAGUCCUCAUGGCCCUUACGUGUUGAGCUACACACGUGCUACAAUGGUAUUUACAACAGGAAGCAAAACGGCGACGUUAAGCAAAUCCUCAAAAAAUACCUCAGUUCGGAUUGCACUCUGCAACUCGAGUGCAUGAAGCUGGAAUUACUAGUAAUCGUGGAUCAGCGUGCCACGGUGAAUGCGU